ACUCCUACGGGAGGCAGCAGUAGGGAAUAUUGGACAAUGGGUGAGAGCCUGAUCCAGCCAUGCCGCGUGCAGGAAGAAGGCGUUAUGCGUUGUAAACUGCUUUUGCCAAGGGAUAAAACGGUUCUGCGGAACUAAUUGAAGGUACCUGGUGAAUAAGCCACGGCUAACUACGUGCCAGCAGCCGCGGUAAUACGGAGGAUCCAAGC
rnacentral:rRNA from 1 species